UCCCUGGUGGUCCAGUGGUGAAGACUCUGCGCUAUCACUGCAGUGGGCCUGGGUUCGAACCCUGGUUGGGGAA